UACGGAGGGGGCGAGCGUUGUCCGCAGUUACUGGGCGUAAAGCGCGCGUAGGCGGGUUGGUAAGUCCGCUGUGAAAGCCCGGAGCUCAACUCCGGAGGGUCGGUGGAUACUGCCAGUCUUGAAGGUGCUAGGGGGAGAUGGAAUUACCGGUGUAGCGGUGAAAUGCGUAGAGAUCGGUAGGAACACCAGUGGCGAAGGCGGUCUCCUGGGGCAUUCUUGACGCUGAGGCGCGAAAGCUGGGGGAGCGAACGGG
rnacentral:rRNA from 1 species